GACGAACGCUGGCGGCGUGCCUAACACAUGCAAGUCGAACGGAACUGUUUUGAAAGAUUUCUUCGGAAUGAAUUUGAUUUAGUUUAGUGGCGGACGGGUGAGUAACGCGUGAGUAACCUGCCUUCAAGAGGGGAAUAACAUUCUGAAAAGAAUGCUAAUACCGCAUGACAUAUCGGAACCACAUGGUUUUGAUAUCAAAGAUUUUAUCGCUUGAAGAUGGACUCGCGUCCGAUUAGUUAGUUGGUGAGGUAACGGCUCACCAAGACCGCGAUCGGUAGCCGGACUGAGAGGUUGAACGGCCACAUUGGGACUGAGACACGGCCCAGACUCCUACGGGAGGCAGCAGUGGGGGAUAUUGCGCAAUGGGGGCAACCCUGACGCAGCAACGCCGCGUGAAGGAUGAAGGUUUUCGGAUUGUAAACUUCUUUUAUUAAGGACGAAAAAUGACGGUACUUAAUGAAUAAGCUCCGGCUAACUACAUG
rnacentral:rRNA from 1 species